GAGGUCAAGCCGGCAGUCUAUCUGUGGUAUAGCAGCCGCACACACCUUGUUGGAUUUAAACCUGUGGAUUUAUUUCCUGUGAGCGCCAGAGAUUGGCACUGGGUGGGGCUGGCACUGCUCCUCCUCCAGCUGGAGUGUUCCCUGCGGUGCCUCUUUGCGUGGGCCAAUAAGGUGCCUUAGCAGGUGAUUACUGCCCAACACACGGCUCUUUACACUACCCUCGACCAUGCCCUUGCUGCUCCUGUGACAGGAGGAAAAGCAGGAGGCGCAGGAGGAGGAGGAGAGGUGCAAAUUGAAGAAAGAAGAGAAGAAAGUGGAAUGACUGAAGGAACAAGAAAAGACGAUGCUGAUGAAACAGAAGAGGCAGAAAUAAAGGACGAUAAACACAAAAAGAAGAUAGCGUUUGAGAGUUCCAAUAAGGGUAUGGAAAGUAUAAAACAUCCUAUUCUUCCUCAUCCACCUCUCCUCUCAUCCACUCGCCUAUCGCAGGAGACAGAAAAUGCAUUACAGGUUCUUAGAAGGUGGAUAAGUGGAUACAGGAGUCACUACCACCCUACUUCUCUCCUCCAUGAGGCCCUCCUCUCUUCCACCUCCCUCCUGGGCGGGUGGAAGGAGUGGAAGAGAGUGGAGAGAAGCGAGAUGGAUUAUGUGGAGUAGGAGAAACAGGUGGAGGUGUUGGUGGAAGAGAUGGAUAGACUGUGUGAGAGAGCGGAAGAGGUGAAAGGCAAGAGUGAUGUGGAAGUGGGAGAUAGGAAGGGGAAUAAAGGAAGAACUGAUAAAUAGGUGAAUAGUGACAAUGGAGUAGAAAAGAAGGGAAAUGAAGGAAGUGAAAGGACAGAAAACGAUGAAGAUAAACCCAAAAUAAAAGGAAAUCUAAGUUACCCACCUCUUU